GGUCCUGUGGCGUAAUGGCAGCGCGUCUGACUACGAAUCAGGAGGCUGUAGGUUCGACCCCUACCUGGAUCA
rnacentral:tRNA from 1 species